rnacentral:rRNA from 1 species
UACGAAGGGGGCUAGCGUUGCUCGGAAUCACUGGGCGUAAAGGGUGCGUAGGCGGGUCUUUAAGUGAGGGUGAAAUCCUGGAGCUCAACUCCAGAACUGCCUUUGAUACUGAGAUCUUGAGUUCGGGAGAGGUGAGUGGAACUGCGAGUGUAGAGGUGAAAUUCGUAGAUAUUCGCAAGAACACCAGUGGCGAAGGCGGCUCACUGGCCCGAUACUGACGCUGAGGCACGGAAAGCGUGGGGAGCAAACAGG